AUGAAUAAACUUUGGUCGAGCUGUUGCUGGUCCUUCGGGGCAUGUGCACGCUUGCCACCAAUUUUUAACCACCUGUGCACCUUUGUAGACUAGAAACAAUUCUCGAGGCAACUCGGAUUGAGAACUGUUGCGCGUGAGCCAGCUGUUCUUGUGUUUCUCAGUCUAUGUUUCAUAUACCCCAUUGUAUGUAUCAGAAUGUAUUGCUAGGCCUUUUGUGCCUUUAAAUUAAAUA
rnacentral:misc_RNA from 1 species